rnacentral:rRNA from 1 species
AUGUUUAUAAUAGUACACCUUGGUAUGCUGACUAUGCUAAUUAUAUUGUUGCUAAAUACAUACCACCUAGCUUCACAUACCAACAAAAAAAUCUUCUAUGAUUUAAGACAUUACUUUUGGGAUGACCCACAUCUUUAUAAAGAAAGAGUAGAUGGCAUUAUUAGAUGUUGUGUACCUGAGCAUGAACAUGAACAAAUCCUAUGGAAAUGUCACUCCGAGGCUUAUGAAGGACAUCAUGCGGGAGACAAAACCGCUCAUAAGGUAUCGCAAUCCGGUUUUUAUUGGCCUACUCUCUUCGAGGAUGCCCGUAAGUUUGUCUCAUCUUGUGAUGAAUGUCAU